rnacentral:ncRNA from 1 species
AACCGAUAAAGGCAAACCUGCCGAAAGGUAGGGACGCAAAGCCACGGGUCUAAGGCGAUCACCAAGAUCGCGACGAUAGCCGGGUUGCCGAU